rnacentral:rRNA from 1 species
AUUGAACGCUGGCGGCAGGCCUAACACAUGCAAGUCGAGCGGAUGAAGGGAGCUUGCUCCUGGAUUCAGCGGCGGACGGGUGAGUAAUGCCUAGGAAUCUGCCUGGUAGUGGGGGAUAACGUCCGGAAACGGGCGCUAAUACCGCAUACGUCCUGAGGGAGAAAGUGGGGGAUCUUCGGACCUCACGCUAUCAGAUGAGCCUAGGUCGGAUUAGCUAGUUGGUGGGGUAAAGGCCUACCAAGGCGACGAUCCGUAACUGGUCUGAGAGGAUGAUCAGUCACACGCGAAAAGCGACACGGUCCAGACGCCUACGGGAGGCAGGGGUGGAUAAGACGAGACAAGGGGCGAACGCCGUCACCAGCCAUGCCGCGUGUGUGAAGAAGGUCUUCGGAUUGUACAGCACUUUAGGGUGGGAGGAAGGGCAGUAAGUUAAGACCUUGCUGUUUUCACGUUACCAACAGAACAAGCACCGGCUAACUUCCUGCCAGCAGCGGCGGUAAUCAUCGUAAAGCAUACGUCUGAAC